rnacentral:rRNA from 1 species
GAUGAACGCUGGCGGCGUGCCUAAUACAUGCAAGUCGAGCGAACAGACGAGGAGCUUGCUCCUCUGACGUUAGCGGCGGACGGGUGAGUAACACGUGGAUAACCUACCUCUAAGACUGGGAUAACUUCGGGAAACCGGAGCUAAUACCGGAUAAUAUAUUGAGCGGCAUGGUUCAAUAGUGAAUGCGGGUUUGGCUGUGCCUUAUAGCUGGAUCCUGGCCGGAUGUGUUAGUUGGUACGGUAACGGCUUCCGAAGGCAAGGAUGCGUGGCCGACCUGAGAGGGUGAUCGGCGACACUGGAACUGGGACACGGUCCAGACUCCUACGGGAGGCAGCAGUAGGGAAUCGUCCGCAAUGGGCGAAAGCCUGACGGAGCAACGCCGCGUGAGUGAUGAAGGGCUGCGGAUCGUAAAACUCUGUUAUUAGGGAAGAACAAAUGUGUAAGUAACUAUGCACGUCUUGACGGUACCUAAUCAGAAAGCCACGGCUAACUACGUG